GACAGAGGUGCCGAGCGUUAGGCGGAAUCACUGGGCUUAAAGCGUGUGUAGGCGGAUCCGUAAGUCCCUUGUGAAAUCCCACGGCUCAACCGUGGAACUGCUCGGUAUACUGCGGGUCUUGAGCCACUUAGGGGCAACCGGAACAAACGGUGGAGCGGUGAAAUGCGUAGAUAUCGUUUGGAACGCCGAUGGUGAAAACAGGUUGCUGGGAGUGCGCUGACGCUGAGACACGAAAGCCAGGGGAGCAAACGGG
rnacentral:rRNA from 1 species